UACGUAGGUGGCAAGCGUUUAUCCGGAAUUAUUGGGCGUAAAGCGCGCGCAGGCGGUUUCUUAAGUCUGAUGUGAAAGCCCACGGCUCAACCGUGGAGGGUCAUUGGAAACUGGGGAACUUGAGUGCAGAAGAGAAAAGCGGAAUUCCACGUGUAGCGGUGAAAUGCGUAGAGAUGUGGAGGAACACCAGUGGCGAAGGCGGCUUUUGGUCUGUAACUGGCGCUGAGGCGCGAAAGCGUGGGGAGCAAACAGG
rnacentral:rRNA from 1 species